rnacentral:pre_miRNA from 1 species
AGCUUUUUGAAUCCGUGCUGAGAUUUCAUCGGUCACCAACCCAUUAGAGCUGAUCAGACUUCCAAGAUAAAUGAAGUU